rnacentral:lncRNA from 1 species
GUGAAUAUGAUAAUGCUUAUAAGAUGAUCAACUGACAGCCAAGUUUCCCAUAUGACUACUGACACUCUAGGUGUAGUAGGAACUCACUAAGGCUUAGAGUCUCAACCCACUCCCUUUUAUUUUUUUCAGAUAAACAGGUUUAUCAAUACAGGGGUAAGAAGGAAGCUGAUGAUCGAGGCUUAGAUUGGAUUAUCUUGAGAUAUUAACAUUAGUUUUCUUCCUUGUUUUGUAUUACACUGUUUAGAUUCCUUUCCGCUGUGAUGUAUCAGUUUACUACGAUGUACUUAUACGUUGUAAAUGAAACAAGUUAUUAUGUAAUUUUAAUGUACCCAGAUUUCAAUUAUGUAUGUCUCGACUAAAUAUUCUAGAUAAAUUUAGUUGGGGUGUUACACAUAUAGGCUUCUAUGGAAUGCAAACACCUUACUUGAAAUUGGAAGUAGUCAGCU